GAGGGGGCUGAAGAGGUUAAGGAUGUCUGAAGGAGGAAAUAGGGGAGUUCAGUGGGAGCUCAGAGGGGGACGUGGGGUGCUGCUGGGGACUGUGGAGCUCUGUGAGGUCCCAGGUUGCUGGGGGGAGGUGUACCGGGAGAAGGUCCUUUAGGAGCUAUGGGGCUCUGUGUGGGGUGUGGGAGGGAUAUAGGGACAUCGGGGGAUAUGGGAACACAGGCUGCAGGAGCAGAAUGCUGUCCAAGAGAAGACAAGAUGUGGGCUGCAGGUGGGAAACAGGUACAUGGGGUAGUAUGGAGACAUAGGGGGCAUGGGAGGAUGUAGGGAACAGCUUGAGGUAAAAAGAGGGGGGGGGGUGGGCAGAGUUGCAGUGGUUUCAAUUCAUCCUGAGAGGGGACUGGGCGUCCCUGAGGCCCAAAAGAGGGGCCCUGAGCCGUAAACCCACAUGAGCCAUAACCCAAGAUGACCUCAUCGCCCUCUAUGUGCGUGACCCCAUGGCUGCACGUGACCCACAGCCCUGGGGGAAUCAUACCCCCACAUGACCCUGUGACUCCCUGACUCUGCCUGCCCCCAUCACGCUGCGACCCAAUUCCAUUUGGCCCCAUAACUCUGGGAUCCCAGCCCCCACCUCACCCAACCAUACAACCCAUGUGACCCGUAACUCCAUGUCACCCCAUCUGACCCCAUCACUGUGACUCAGAACCCCACCUGAACCCAUAGCCCCACAUCACCUUGUAACUCUGUGACCCUGCAGGACCCCCAUGUGACCCACGACCCCACGUCCUCACCCCAUGUGUUCGUAGAACCAGCUGCGUGUGGGGAAAGGCAUCUCCUUCUCGGGGUGAGGCUUCUGUAGGGAAAUACCUGUCCCAGGGUUUGGUGGGUUGGUAGCUUCUGUUUCUGUAAGUGCAUGAGAACAGAACAAACUGAUCCCACUUAGACCGGGGAAGGGACUGGAGCUUGGCUUGAACCAGGAACGGAGCAGGGAUGGACUGAAGCAAAUC
ensembl:lncRNA